rnacentral:rRNA from 1 species
AACGAACGCUGGCGGCAUGCCUAACACAUGCAAGUCGAACGAGACCUUCGGGUCUAGUGGCGCACGGGUGCGUAACGCGUGGGGACCUGCCCUUAGGUUCGGAAUAACUCCCCGAAAGGGGUGCUAAUACCGGAUAAUGUCUUCGGACCAAAGAUUUAUCGCCUUUGGAUGGGCCCGCGUUGGAUUAGCUAGUUGGUAGGGUAAAAGCCUACCAAGGCGACGAUCCAUAGCUGGUCUGAGAGGAUGAUCAGCCACACUGGAACUGAGACACGGCCCAGACUCCUACGGGAGGCAGCAGUGGGGAAUAUUGGACAAUGGGCGAAAGCCUGAUCCAGCAAUGCCGCGUGAGUGAUGAAGGCCUUAGGGUUGUAAAGCUCUUUUACCCGGGAUGAUAAUGACAGUACCGGGAGAAUAAGCUCCGGCUAACUCCGUG